UACGGAGGGUGCAAGCGUUAAUCGGAAUUACUGGGCGUAAAGCGUACGCAGGUGGCUGAGUCAGUCGAUUGUGAAAGCCCUGGGCUUAACCUGGGAAUUGCAGUCGAUACUACUCAGCUAGAGUAUGGGAGAGGGUAGUGGAAUUCCCGGUGUAGCGGUGAAAUGCGUAGAUAUCGGGAGGAACAUCAGUGGCGAAGGCGGCUACCUGGCCCAAUACUGACACUCAGGUGCGACAGCGUGGGGAGCAAACAGG
rnacentral:rRNA from 1 species